rnacentral:snoRNA from 2 species
UGUGCAUUUAGGAAAACAAAACCAUUCUGUGUCAUAUAUGAGUCAGUAGGUGGCAGAAAGGAGAGGGGCUAUGUCCCCUCAAUGUUCUGACCUAUGAACACCAGAAUGAUUAGUAGCCUAAUAGU